rnacentral:rRNA from 1 species
AAACCAACAGGGAUUGCCUCAGUAACGGCGAGUGAAGCGGCAAAAGCUCAAAUUUGAAAUCCUCAGGGAAUUGUAAUUUGAAGGUGGUUAAAGUUAGUUUAAAAGUUUCUUAAGUCCAUUGGAAAAUGGCGCCAUGGAGGGUGAUAGCCCCGUAAAGAAACCUAUAUUCUAUUUCCUUUAACCUCCAAAGAGUCGAGUUGUUUGGGAAUGCAGCUCUAAGUGGGUGGUAAAUUCCAUCUAAAGCUAAAUAUUGGCGAGAGACCGAUAGCGAACAAGUACAGUGAUGGAAAGAUGAAAAGCACUUUGAAAAGAGAGUGAAAAAGUACGUGAAAUUGUUGAAAGGGAAGGGCUUGCAAGCAGACACAACCUCGGUUGGGCCAGCAUCGGGGCGAGGGGGAACAAAAAAAAGUAAGAAAUGUAACUCGUCUCGUGCGAGUAUUAUAGACUCACUUUUUCUUUCCCACCUCAUCCCGAGGCCUGCGGUAUUCUAGGAUGCUGGCGUAAUGGUUGCAAGUCGC